rnacentral:rRNA from 1 species
AACGAACGCUGGCGGCAGGCUUAACACAUGCAAGUCGAGCGCCCCGCAAGGGGAGCGGCAGACGGGUGAGUAACGCGUGGGAAUCUACCCAUCUCUACGGAAUAACGCAUGGAAACGUGUGCUAAUACCGUAUACGUCCUUCGGGGGAAAGAUUUAUCGGAGAUGGAUGAGCCCGCGUUGGAUUAGCUAGUUGGUGGGGUAAAGGCCUACCAAGGCGACGAUCCAUAGCUGGUCUGAGAGGAUGAUCAGCCACACUGGGACUGAGACACGGCCCAGACUCCUACGGGAGGCAGCAGUGGGGAAUAUUGGACACUGGGCGCAAGCCUGAUCCAGCCAUGCCGCGUGAGUGAUGAAGGCCCUAGGGUUGUAAAGCUCUUUCACCGGUGAAGAUAAUGACGGUAACCGGAGAAGAAGCCCCGGCUAACUUCGUGCCAGCCGCCGCCGUAAAAC